rnacentral:rRNA from 1 species
UUUAUGGAGAGUUUGAUCCUGGCUCAGGAUGAACGCUGGCGGCGUGCCUAAUACAUGCAAGUCGAGCGAACGGACGAGAAGCUUGCUUCUCUGAUGUUAGCGGCGGACGGGUGAGUAACACGUGGAUAACCUACCUAUAAGACUGGGAUAACUUCGGGAAACCGGAGCUAAUACCGGAUAAUAUUUUGAACCGCAUGGUUCAAAAGUGAAAGACGGUCUUGCUGUCACUUAUAGAUGGAUCCGCGCUGCAUUAGCUAGUUGGUAAGGUAACGGCUUACCAAGGCAACGAUGCAUAGCCGACCUGAGAGGGUGAUCGGCCACACUGGAACUGAGACACGGUCCAGACUCCUACGGGAGGCAGCAGUAGGGAAUCUUCCGCAAUGGGCGAAAGCCUGACGGAGCAACGCCGCGUGAGUGAUGAAGGUCUUCGGAUCGUAAAACUCUGUUAUUAGGGAAGAACAUAUGUGUAAGUAACUGUGCACAUCUUGACGGUACCUAAUCAGAAAGCCACGGCUAACUACGUGCCAGCAGCCGCGGUAAUACGUAGGUGGCAAGCGUUAUCCGGAAUUAUUGGGCGUAAAGCGCGCGUAGGCGGUUUUUUAAGUCUGAUGUGAAAGCCCACGGCUCAACCGUGGAGGGUCAUUGGAAACUGGAAAACUUGAGUGCAGAAGAGGAAAGUGGAAUUCCAUGUGUAGCGGUGAAAUGCGCAGAGAUAUGGAGGAACACCAGUGGCGAAGGCGACUUUCUGGUCUGUAACUGACGCUGAUGUGCGAAAGCGUGGGGAUCAAACAGGAUUAGAUACCCUGGUAGUCCACGCCGUAAACGAUGAGUGCUAAGUGUUAGGGGGUUUCCGCCCCUUAGUGCUGCAGCUAACGCAUUAAGCACUCCGCCUGGGGAGUACGACCGCAAGGUUGAAACUCAAAGGAAUUGACGGGGACCCGCACAAGCGGUGGAGCAUGUGGUUUAAUUCGAAGCAACGCGAAGAACCUUACCAAAUCUUGACAUCCUUUGACAACUCUAGAGAUAGAGCCUUCCCCUUCGGGGGACAAAGUGACAGGUGGUGCAUGGUUGUCGUCAGCUCGUGUCGUGAGAUGUUGGGUUAAGUCCCGCAACGAGCGCAACCCUU